GGGUGCGAUCAUACCAGCACUAAUGCUCCGGAUCCCAUCAGAACUUCGAAGUUAAACGUGCUUGGGCGAGAGUAGUACUAAGAUGGGUGACCUCUUGGGAAGUCCUCGUGUUGCACCCC
rnacentral:rRNA from 1 species